rnacentral:rRNA from 1 species
UACGUAGGGGGCUAGCGUUGUCCGGAUUUAUUGGGCGUAAAGAGCGUGUAGGCGGCCAGGUAGGUCUGCUGUGAAAACUCGAGGCUCAACCUCGAGACGUCGGCGGAAACCAUCUGGCUAGAGUCCGGAAGAGGAGAGUGGAAUUCCUGGUGUAGCGGUGAAAUGCGCAGAUAUCAGGAGGAGCACCGAUGGCGAAGGCAGGUCUCUGGGCCGAUACUGACGCUGAGGAGCGAAAGCGUGGGGAGCGAACAGG